rnacentral:rRNA from 1 species
UACGUAGGGGGCAAGCGUUGUCCGGAUUUAUUGGGCGUAAAGAGCGUGUAGGCGGUUAGGUAGGUCCGUUGUGAAAACUCGAGGCUCAACCUCGAGACGCCGAUGGAAACCAUCUGACUAGAGUCCGGAAGAGGAGAGUGGAAUUCCUGGUGUAGCGGUGAAAUGCGCAGAUAUCAGGAGGAACACCAACGGCGAAGGCAGCUCUCUGGGACGUUACUGACGCUGAGACGCGAAAGCGUGGGGAGCAAACAGG